UACGAAGGGGGCUAGCGUUGUUCGGAAUAACUGGGCGUAAAGCGCACGUAGGCGGAUUUGUAAGUCAGGGGUGAAAUCCCGGGGCUCAACCUCGGAACUGCCUUUGAUACUGCAAGUCUAGAGUCCGGAAGAGGUGAGUGGAAUUCCUAGUGUAGAGGUGAAAUUCGUAGAUAUUAGGAAGAACACCAGUGGCGAAGGCGGCUCACUGGUCCGGAACUGACGCUGAGGUGCGAAAGCGUGGGGAGCAAACAGG
rnacentral:rRNA from 1 species